rnacentral:rRNA from 3 species
ACGGGUGAGUAAUGCCUAGGAAUCUGCCUGGUAGUGGGGGAUAACGUUCGGAAACGAACGCUAAUACCGCAUACGUCCUACGGGAGAAAGCAGGGGACCUUCGGGCCUUGCGCUAUCAGAUGAGCCUAGGUCGGAUUAGCUAGUUGGUGAGGUAAUGGCUCACCAAGGCGACGAUCCGUAACUGGUCUGAGAGGAUGAUCAGUCACACUGGAACUGAGACACGGUCCAGACUCCUACGGGAGGCAGCAGUGGGGAAUAUUGGACAAUGGGCGAAAGCCUGAUCCAGCCAUGCCGCGUGUGUGAAGAAGGUCUUCGGAUUGUAAAGCACUUUAAGUUGGGAGGAAGGGCAGUUACCUAAUACGUAAUUGUUUUGACGUUACCGACAGAAUAAGCACCGGCUAACUCUGUGCCAGCAGCCGCGGUAAUACAGAGGGUGCAAGCGUUAAUCGGAAUUACUGGGCGUAAAGCGCGCGUAGGUGGUUCGUUAAGUUGGAUGUGAAAUCCCCGGGCUCAACCUGGGAACUGCAUUCAAAACUGUCGAGCUAGAGUAUGGUAGAGGGUGGUGGAAUUUCCUGUGUAGCG